rnacentral:rRNA from 1 species
GAUGAACGCUAGCGGCAGGCCUAACGCAUGCAAGUCGGGGGGGAAGUUACUUUCGGGUGACUGAGACCGGCGUACGGGUGCGUAACGCGUAUACAAUCUGCCUUUCACUGGGGGGUAGCCCGAAGAAAUUUGGAUUAAUACCCCAUAGUAUAUAGGGACGGCAUCGUUUUUAUAUUAAAGCUUAGGUGGUGAAAGAUGAGUAUGCGUUCUAUUAGCUAGUUGGAGAGGUAACGGCUCCCCAAGGCGAUGAUAGAUAGGGGUUCUGAGAGGGAUGUCCCCCACACUGGUACUGAGAUACGGACCAGACUCCUACGGGAGGCAGCAGUGAGGAAUAUUGGACAAUGGUCGGAAGACUGAUCCAGCCAUGCCGCGUGCAGGAUGAAGGUCUUAUGGAUUGUAAACUGCUUUUGUAAGGGAAGAAUAAGGGCUACGCGUAGUUUGAUGACGGUACCUUACGAAUAAGCAUCGGCUAACUCCGUG